rnacentral:rRNA from 1 species
AUGAGCCUAGUCCAAUACAGAACAAUUAUCAACCAUCUGGUAAUCGUGGAACUGCUCCAUAGCAUACAGUUCGCUUCCAGCAUCGCCGAAUUUAACUUCGAGCGCAUCCCACAAGGUUUUGGCAACCCGCAUAUGAAUAUAUGCGUCAACCAACUUGUCUCCAAUCACACUCAGAACUGCUCCCACAAAGACUAUGGUUGCCUCCCUAAACGCCUUCCCCUGUUGAGGAACAAUCGUUUCUGUGAGGGGCACACCACCAACCCAGAACACAUUCAUCGCUGUGAGCCACAAGGUGGUCCUUGUCUGCCAACGCUUAAAAUGCGUCCCGGUAAACUUUUUCGGUUUCAGUGUAGUAGCAAAGCCUUGAAUCGAAAAGUGCCUAAAAUAAGGUUUUCAGAUUAUUGGAAAUAUUAG